UGCCAUUUCACAAUCAUAAUUUUGACUUUACAUAUGUUAUUUGAACUUUUGCUUUUAGAUAGAACACAGAAUAUAGCCACACACUAAGAGAUCUCCCUUAGAUGUCAAGAUCAAUACUAGAUCAAACCUUUGAACCAGUUUUGGAGUGACAGAACCCACAAAUAUUUGGAGUGUUUCCAGCAGAAAAUAUUUUGGAAGAACAUAAAAGGUCAGAUUCUCCUGAGUUACAUGAUGUCUUUCAGGUGAGGAAGAGACAAAACCAAUGGAUGUCCAAUUGAGAAAUAUGAUGAGGAACAUCACUGGCUUGUGGAUAAUAUCAUAUAUAUAUUGUUUAUCCAUGUUUUUCAUAAAAAGAAAAACUCUUCAGGAAAAAACUUUUUUGUGGCAUGGGAAUGGGAUCCUGUCAGUGACUUAUUCAAUGGAAGUGGGUGCUUGUAUUUGUUAUUUGUGGACAAAGAACAGUUGUCCAGGAUUUAUUCUCAAGGAGGAUUGGGUGAACUGGUGUUUUUGGACUCUCAUUUUGAUCUUAUUCACAUUCAUAGUAAUAAUUCUUUUGAAAUUUUCGUAUGUAUAUUUCUCCUUUUUUUUAUAUUGAUGUUUUCAUUUAAUUUUGUUGAUAUUGCCAACAUCAUCUUUUUGAUGCCUAUAUUUAGAUUAUAUUUUUGGAGGAUUCUUCACGAUAUUCUUUGAAAAAUGUGCUCUACUUCUGAGAAAUAAGGGUCUCUGUCCCAACCUUCCUGUGCAGCUCUGAACCUUGGCUUUGAGCACAGAGGCUCCUUGUGUUUGGAGGGGGGAACUUUGACUGCUCUGUUCAGGAAACAGCCUGGAAACACUGAUUUGCUCUUAUACUGAGCUAGGACUGAGGGUCUUCAUUGUGAGUUGCUUUAAGACCCCCUUACCAAACCUUCCCACAGUCUUUCUGAACUGGCCUGAAUAUACUUUUCACCCCAAUGAGACUGACUUUUCUUGAACUUUUUUGAAUUCGUGUUGAGUUGGAAAGUAGGUUCAUUCCAUUAGACUCUAUGCAGAGGCUUGGUUUCAUGUGAUUUUCCAGGAAAACUGGGAGAACUGGAGCAGCUCCCUGACUGUACUAUCUUGCCUCCACCCCACUCUUCUUAUUUAAAGGUUUGAGUUCCAAAUUCUGUCUCUCUCUUCCUUCUCUCCCCUCCCCAAGAUUAUAAGCAGUCAGAUAUAGUUUAUACAUGUGCAACUAUGUAAGACACUUCCCUAGUAGUCAUUUUGUACAAGACUCAAAUGAAAGAAAAAACUCAAUAAAGAGAUAAAUAUCAUGCUUCACUCUGAAUUCAAC